AUUGACUGAAGGAAGAUUUGAACUCAGGGCUUCCUGAUUCCCAUCCCAGAACUCUAUUGUUCAAAUCUUCCUUCAGUCAAUAGCC
ensembl:miRNA mdo-mir-12362 mdo-mir-12362